rnacentral:rRNA from 1 species
UACGGAGGGAGCUAGCGUUGUUCGGAAUUACUGGGCGUAAAGCGCACGUAGGCGGCUUUGCAAGUCAGAGGUGAAAGCCUGGAGCUCAACUCCAGAAUUGCCUUUGAGACUGCAUCGCUUGAACACGGGAGAGGUGAGUGGAAUUCCGAGUGUAGAGGUGAAAUUCGUAGAUAUUCGCAAGAACACCAGUGGCGAAGGCGGCUCACUGGCCCGAUACUGACGCUGAGGCACGAAAGCGUGGGGAGCAAACAGG